AGUGAACGCUGGCGGUAGGCCUAACACAUGCAAGUCGAACGGCAGCACAGGUGAGCUUGCUCUCUGGGUGGCGAGUGGCGGACGGGUGAGGAAUACAUCGGAAUCUACUUUUUCGUGGGGGAUAACGUAGGGAAACUUACGCUAAUACCGCAUACGACCUACGGGUGAAAGCAGGGGACCUUCGGGCCUUGCGCGAUUGAAUGAGCCGAUGUCGGAUUAGCUAGUUGGCGGGGUAAAGGCCCACCAAGGCGACGAUCCGCAGCUGGUCUGAGAGGAUGAUCAGCCACACUGGAACUGAGACACGGUCCAGACUCCUACGGGAGGCAGCAGUAGGGAAUAUUGGACAAUGGGCGCAAGCCUGAUCCAGCCAUACCGCGUGGGUGAAGAAGGCCUUCGGGUUGUAAAGCCCUUUUGUUGGGAAAGAAAUCCAGCUGGCUAAUACCCGGUUGGGAUGACGGUACCCAAAGAAUAAGCACCGGCUAACUUCGUGCCAGCCGCCGCGGUAA
rnacentral:rRNA from 1 species